UUCACUAAACACACUCUGCAUUACACACACACACUACAUUCACUAAACACAGAGUGUGUCUAGUGAAUGUAGUGUGUGUGUGUAAUGCAGAGUGUGUUUAGUGAA